UACGUAGGGUGCAAGCGUUGUCCGGAAUUAUUGGGCGUAAAGAGCUCGUAGGCGGUUUGUUGCGUCGGCUGUGAAAUCCCGAGGCUCAACCUCGGGUCUGCAGUCGAUACGAGCAAAACUAGAGUGUUGCAGGGGGAGACUGGAAUUCCUGGUGUAGCGGUGAAAUGCGCAGAUAUCAGGAGGAACACCGGUGGCGAAGGCGGGUCUCUGGGCAACAACUGACGCUGGAGGAGCGAAAGCGUGGGGAGCGAACAGG
rnacentral:rRNA from 1 species